rnacentral:rRNA from 1 species
ACGGAAGGCAGCAGUGGGGAAUAUUGCACAAUGGGGGAAACCCUGAUGCAGCGACGCCGCGUGAAGGAUGAAGUAUUUCGGUAUGUAAACUUCUAUCAGCAGGGAAGAAAGUGACGGUACCUGACUAAGAAGCCCCGGCUAACUACGUGCCAGCAGCCGCGGUAAUACGUAGGGGGCAAGCGUUAUCCGGAUUUACUGGGUGUAAAGGGAGCGUAGACGGGAUAGCAAGUCUGAAGUGAAAGCCCGGGGCUCAACCCUGGGACUGCUUUGGAAACUGUUGACCUGGAGUGCUGGAGAGGCAAGUGGAAUUCCUAGUGUAGCGGUGAAAUGCGUAGAUAUUAGGAGGAACACCAGUGGCGAAGGCGGCUUGCUGGACAGUGACUGACGUUGAGGCUCGAAAGCGUGGGGAGCAAACAGGAUUAGAUACCCUGGUA